rnacentral:rRNA from 1 species
AUUGAACGCUGGCGGCAGGCCUAACACAUGCAAUUCGAGCGGAGCGGCGGACGGGUGAGUAAUGCCUAGGAAUCUGCCUGGUAGUGGGGGAUAACGUCCGGACACGGGCGCUAAUACCGCAUACUAUCAGAUGAGCCUAGGUCGGAUUAGCUAGUUGGUGGGGUAAAGGCCUACCAAGGCGACGAUCCGUAACUGGUCUGAGAGGAUGAUCAGUUACACUUGAACUGUGACCAGGUCCAGACUCCUACGUGUGGAAGCAGUGGGGAAUAUUGGACAAUGGGCGAAAGCCUGAUCCAGCCAUGCCGCGUGUGUUAAGAAGGUCUUCGGAUUGUAAAGCACUUUAAGUUGGUAUGCGUUUCCAACAGAAUAAGCACCGGCUAACUCCGUGCCAGCAGCCGCUGUAAUAC